UGAAUACGAGACGCUAAGGCGUCGAAGUAGUGUAUGUCAUACUUCCAAGAAAAGCUUGCACUGUCAUAAAUAAAAGAUGCCUGUACCAUAACCGACACAGGUGGGUAGGUAGAGUAUACUAAGGGGCGCGAGAUAACUCUCUCUAAGGAACUCGGCAAAAUAACUCCGUAACUUCGGGAGAAGGAGUGCCUUAUUUAUAAGGUUGCAAUAACAAGAUCCAAGCAACUGUUUAUCAAAAACACAGGUCUCCGCUAAGUCGCAAGACGAUGUAUGGGGGCUGACGCCUGCCCAUUGCCAGAAGGUUAAAGAAGUUGGUUAGCACUUGCGAAGCUGAUAACUGAAGCCCUGGUGAACGGCGGCCGUAACGAUAACGGUCCUAAGGUAGCGAAAUUCCUUGUCGGGUAAGUUCCGACCCGCACGAAAGGCGUAAUGAUUUGGAUACUGUCUCGGAGAGGGGCUCGGUGAAAUAGACUUGUCUGUGAAGAUGCGGACUACCUGCACCAGGACAGAAAGACCCUAUGAAGCUUUACUGUAACUUGAAAUUGAAAUUGGACUUUAUUCGCGCAGUAUAGGUGGGAGGCGUUGAUUGUAAUCUUGCGGGAUUAUUGGAGCCAUCAGUGAGAUACCACUCUUGUAAUGUUAGAUUUCUAACUUUGUAUCAUUAUCUGGUCAAAGGACAGUUUCAGGCGGGCAGUUUGACUGGGGCGGUCGCCUCCUAAACGGUAACGGAGGCGUACAAAGGUUUCCUCUGAACGGUUAGAAAUCGUAUCUAGAGUGUAAAGGCAUAAGGAAGCUUGACUGUGAGACCUACAAGUCGAGCAGGGACGAAAGUCGGUCUUAGUGAUCUGACGGUACUGAGUGGAAAGGCCGUCACUCAACGGAUAAAAGUUACUCUAGGAUAACAGGCUGAUCUCCCCCAAGAGUUCACAUCGACGGGGAGGUUUGGCACCUUGAUGUCGGCUCAUCGCAUCCUGGGGCGGUAGUACGUCCCAAGGGUUGGGCUGUUCGCCCAUGAAAGCGGUACGCGAGCUGGGUUCAGAACGUCGUGAGACAGUUCGGUCCAUAUCCGGUGUAGGCGUUAGAAUAUUGAGAGGAGCCUUCUUUAGUACGAGAGGACCGAGAAGGACAUACCUCUGGUGUACCAGUUAUCGUGCCAACGGUAAACGCUGGGUAGCUAUGUAUGGAGUGGAUAACCGCUGAAAGCAUCUAAGUGGGAAGCCCACCUCAAGAUAAGUAUUCU
rnacentral:rRNA from 1 species